CAUCACUUAAGUGGGCAUUGUAUCAUCUCAGCACAAGAAGAGGGGUGAAUACACUAUUUUGAGAGACCGCAUUAACAUAACUUGUAUUACAGUAUAUUGUUCUAAUUGUCCGAUUUUAUUAUUAUUGAAUGAUAAUCUCUUACUAUGCCCAAUUUAUAAAUUAAACUUUAUCAUAGGAAAAUGGAUGAAACUGCAGAACUUCAUAUUGAGUGAAAGAAGUCAGGCUCAGAAAGGCACUACUAAUAAAAGGAAAAAAACCCCAUAAGAAUAUAGCCUCCAAAAAAAUCCCUGGAUAAUCAGUAUGAUAUCUACUUAGCAAACGUCUCAAAGUACACUAUUGAAGGAUCUAAAGCACAGAUGAAAUCAUUUCCUAAUAAUACACAGACCAUGAGUAGAAGAGCAAAAAGUCAGACCUAUGGGCAUUGGCGCUUGCACUUCACUUCUUUUCUACUGUACUACACUGAAAGUUUGAAAAGGAAGUAAUCUUCUCAACAAACUCUGGAAAGUAUAGAUUAUAGAUUAAAGUUUUAGCUUUUGGCUAUGCUAUGACCUUCAUAAGAUCAGGCCAUCAACAUUUUUUGAAUUAAUUACUAUCGUUUCAAGGCAUUGCAG
ensembl:lncRNA